UUGCAGACACACUUGCGUUAACAAUACCUUAUGGAGCAGAACCUAGCCUAGAUCUAACCUAAAUAGUCAUUUAAAAGAGGAACAAACUUAUCAGUGCCGGAUGGUUAUAUUUUUUAAACUAUAGGUACAAUAGUUUAAAAAAUGUAUUUGAUUUA